UUCAUUUUCAUUAUUUACAUUCAGACACUGAAGCUGAGGACUGCAUAAAAGCGACGCAUGAGCGCCGAAGCACAGGCUGGCUUCCACAGGUUUGAAGGGUUGGAAGGCCAAUAAAGGCCAUUCAUUAAUGAUCCCUCCGCAGGUUCACCUACGGAGA
rnacentral:misc_RNA from 1 species